CACGUAGGGUGCGAGCGUUGUCCGGAAUUAUUGGGCGUAAAGAGCUCGUAGGCGGUGUGUCGCGUCGGCCGUGAAAACCUGCAGCUUAACUGUGGGCUUGCGGUCGAUACGGGCAUCACUGGAGUUCGGCAGGGGAGACUGGAAUUCCUGGUGUAGCGGUGAAAUGCGCAGAUAUCAGGAGGAACACCGGUGGCGAAGGCGGAUCUCUGGGACAGUUACUGACACUGAGGCAACGAAGGCCCAGGGGAGCAAACGGGG
rnacentral:rRNA from 1 species